GAACUGAAAUGAGAAAAGACCGCUCAAGUCACCUGUCGACUUGGGGGAGAAACGUGUUAUUAAACAUAAAAGGAGGGCACUAGCGAAUCUGGAUUUGCACUUAAAAAGGAAUCUCCUUAUAACCACGGGUCUCCAUUUACAUCAGCUUUAUGUUUUAUAUUAUCUGGUAAAAGGUCCCAGCGCGUGCCAUCCCGGCGCACGGACUGCUCUGAGCUAAAGGCUACCGCGAACCAGCUGACACAGGAGCAGCUCUAAGGACCGAGCUCCAGGGUUCCGUAUUCACAAAGGAAAUGCACUCGGUGUAGGAGGCUCCGCUCCGCUCUCACCAGCUCUCACCGGUGGAGAAGGCGCCCGCUUCCACACGCACCACAGGACUUGCUAAGCGAUCCGUGCUUACCACUGCUCCCCUCGCCUGCCCCCCAGCCCCCGUCCCUCGUGUUAGCCUGGAAUGGUGUGUAAGCGCGGGGUCUAGCCGGCAGCCCUCGGGGUUACUCUUCACCAGGGCAUCUACGUGUACAUGUGUGAUGCACGUGUUAAGCCGUUUUCCUCCUGUUAAUCUGCCUUUUGCCAGUCUGGCUACAGGGCCCCAGCCAGAGAACCUAAGUGCGUAGAGGAAAAAGGUAUUUUUUGUUCCCCUACACUGGUGUGAGAAUUUCCGGUGCUCCCUUGCAUCUUGUAGGCACAGGAAGGGAAAUUUUUAUCUUCGUUUAAAUGAAAACUCAGGAAGUAAAGCCUUACUGUCCCCAAACUGAAUGAUCUGAAUUAGCUGCUCUACUCCAUUAGCUCAGUUAACCUGAUGCCUGGCAGGUCACAGAAGGUGGCUCUUUCCUGUCCUCUACAAAGUUCAAAGGGAUCGGGGAUCUGGUUUUUAAACCUCUGACUACGGAGCGGAUGUGUUCAGAACGCAGGGAUGAGACACCCGGGCUGGAUGAACACAGCUCGGGCAGCGCUGAGUGAGGCCACGUGGGCCGCCAGAAGGGCCUCAGCCGCAGCUCCCGAAACCCCCCCGACUCUGGCAUCUCCUGCCGGGCUCCAGGGAGCCCAGCGUCAGGGACCCAGGACUCCCUCUCAGAGGUGGACUCCUCAGCCAAGCUCACGAGACUAAGGUAUAUACGCCACGAUGCCAGUUUACAAAGAGCCUGGUCCUCUCUGGAAGACGAACGUGCCUGGAAGCGGAACCAGGAGUCCAAUUCGCCCAUCUCCAGAAUGGACGGCUCUGGCAGCGGGACCGUGACGCCAGGAGUCUGCAGGCAGAACCGCCCCUCCUCUUUGGGCGCUUCCACGGCUGACCCCGUGCUCCCGUCAGACUCACAGUGGGGAGCUGUGGCCUCACAGUCCGUCUCUUUCAGGUGGCUUUACGCUGACGUCUAGAACCGGGGAGAAGCCACCCACCAGCAGUGCUGUGGAUUCAGCACAGCGAUCCUGACUUGACUCCCUGUUUUGAUUCCCCAGCAAUUGACUGAGGAUCCCCUGCCCCUUGCAUGAAAACUGCUCCCCCACAGCCUCUCCUGUUUAGAUCUUUAGCUUAGAUUUGAUUUUUAAUCAGCCGUUCUCCAACCAACUGGGUGUUCCAAGGUAGGCGGCCUUCUGACCAGCACGUGAUCCUUGGAUUACAGGUGUUCUUUUGGAAAUUAAAAGCAGGGAGACACUCACUUUGCCAAUGUUAGUGUUGUCCAGGGCUGCGUCCACUUCAUCUAAGACAAAGAACGGAGCGGGCCGAAAACUAGGAAGAAAUUACAAGGAACAGCUUUGGUUUUCGAGAGACCUGGAGAAGAUUAACAGUAUUCAGACUGAACAAGAUCCAUCCCCUUGGAUGCUUCUGCCUCAGUCACCAAGUCACCAGUGGCCCCGACGGUGCCGAAUCCAACGGGCAGUGCUCAGUCGGUGUCCCCCGUGACCUUUGCGGGUGGCAUGGGGGGCUGCCCCCACCUGGCGGCCUGAUGUCACAGAUGACCGUCUGCUCCCCCACCUCCCCCACCGCUCCUUCCAGGUCUCUUCCGCCAGCUCCUCUCCGUGCGGUGCUCGAACGUUUUCACACCGCGGUGCCCUGGGGUACAGUCCAUGGUCCUUCCACGCUAACUGGCUCGCGCGUGGUUUCAUCUCAUCUCUGGGAUUUAAACACCCUCCGUGUACUGAUGGCUCCCACACCCUACCUGCCUCAUGUGCCCAACAGCUUGCCCGACGGUUCCUGGCGGGUGUCUGAUAAACAGCUAAAGCUCAUCCCUGAUCCCGCUCCUCAGCUGCCCCUCCAGACCUGUUCCCUCCCACGGUCUUUUCACUUGAGCUGGUAUGUGUCACCCCUGCCGCCUCCCUCUCACCCCACACCUUGUCUGCUCAGCCGACACUCACGCUGGUCCAGCCCCUCUUCCCCUUUCUCCCUGACGGCUACCACAGUUCCUAUCCCUGUGUCCGCCACUGUUGCAUACGGCCCAUUCACUACGGAUGCCGGCUGUCUCUGGCCUCAGGGCCUUUGCACAUGCUGUUCCUCAUGUCUAGAACAAUCUUCCCUUAGCUACAGCCACACGACUUGCUCCCUUCAUUCCUUCAAACUUUGUUCAAAUGUUGCCUUCUCAAGUAGGCCUUCCAGGGUGACUCUAAUAUUGCAAAUCCCUCCCUGCUAUUUACUGUCUCCAAUUCCCUACUUUAUUUUCUUCUCUAUAGCAUCUGCCAUCUCCUGAUAGUCUCUCUGUCAGAGUUAGUUUACUAAAAUACCUUCUCCUCUGUCUUCCCCAACAAGAAUAACGUAUCUUUGAGGCAAAGAUUUUGUUUUGUUCCCUGCUGACUCUCCGAUGCCUGCACCACCACCCGACACACAGCAGAUCUCUAAUCAGUAUCUGUCGAAUAAAUGGAUGGUGACAGUAAUU